CCUAAUUGUCAUUGUAUUAGUGUAAGUGUCGGUGCGAGAGCAUUUAGUUUGUGCGCGUCAUCUCCUUUGAUCGGUCGUUCGUUGUGCGGGUGCGUGUAUAAAUUCAUGUGUUUUUCAAAUAAGUGAGUUACAUUAUUAUAAUUGUGUUAAAUGCGAUAAGUGAGUGAAAUAUAAUAUGUACAUAUAUUAAUCCUUAAGCCUGUCGGCAUACUUAGAGGCUUCCUUAACAAUCGGUAAAAUAUGGCAGAGCUGGAGAGCUUUUUGUUUUUGGCGCGCGUUGGCACUUGGAGAGAGAGAGAGUGUGUGAGAGAGAGAGAGUGGAAGAGAACGACUGUCAGCGAACCGAGCGAGCCAACUGCCGUGUGCUGAAACGGGGGCGCUUGCUAUCCUUUGGAGCAGAGAACUCUAUGUGGAGGACAUGCCUUGUAGCAUUGUGUAAAACGCUUGUUAACAUUUACCCCAACGACAAAAUUUUGUAAAAGCCUGUGACAGUUUUCAGCGUAAGCAAAAGCGCACAAAUCUCCACACACACUGAUUUGCAAAGAGAGAACGGAAUUUAAAUUAGUCGAAGCGACUGUUUACAAAAAAAAAGUGGAUGACGAAUAGAGAGUGUCAAGCGAAUAGAGCAAAUGUUACAUACAAAUGACUUUUCGGAAUAUUAAAAAAUCAGGGCAAAGUAAUGAAGAGAGAAAAAUUCGAGACUCAGUUGUACGCAGCUUGUUGAAAUAUCUUGGAUGACAUAAGUUCUUGUUAUGAUAUAUUUCUUAAUGCUUCCGAUAUACUUUACUUUAUUAAAACUAUAUAUCACAUCAUGGCUUUUUACAAUAGUUAA